rnacentral:tRNA from 1 species
GCUGAAGUGGUGGAAUUGGUAGACACGUUGGACUUAAAAUCCAAUGUCCGUUUUGGACGUGCGGGUUCAAGUCCCGCCUUCAGUA